rnacentral:misc_RNA from 1 species
AACCAUAGAAACCUGCGGAGUACCUGCGGAGGGAUCAUUAUAGUAUAUGGAAUCUCCAUUCUAUAAACCCACUCUGCGUAUCUUGUAACUGUUGCUUCCAUGGGACUUGGUUCCGCCACACCGGCUUCACGGCUGGUGAGCGCCCAUGGAAGGAGAAACAAAACUCUUCUUUGAAAUGUAGUCAGUCCGAACAAGUUUUUAUAAACGUUAAAACUUUCAGCAAUGGAUCUCAGAUCGGAA